UCCCUGGUACUCCAGUGGUUAGGACUCUUCACUUCCAAAGAAGGGGAUGCAGGUUCAAUCCCUAGUCAGGGAA
rnacentral:tRNA from 1 species